GAGUUAGAUCCUGGCUCAGGACGAACGCUGGCGGCGUGCUUGAUACAUGCAAGUCAAGGAGAACAUUAUCUUCGGAAAAUAAGUAAACUGGCGAACGGGUGAGUAACGCGUAAACAACUUGCCUCAGAGAUAGGGACAACAUAGGGAAACCAGUGCUGAUACCAAAUAAUGCAGCGGGCUCUUCGGAGCACAGUUGUUAAAGUAGGCUUCGGCUUACACUUUGAGAUAGGUUCGCGUCCGAUUAGUUAGUUGGUAGGGUAAAAGCCUACCAAGACCAAGAUCGGUAGCUGUUCUGAGAGGAUGAUCAGCCACACUGGAAUUGAGAUACGGUCCAGACUCCUACGGGAGGCAGCAGUAAGGAAUUUUGCACAAUGGGCGAAAGCCUGAUGCAGCAACGCCGCGUGAACGAUGAAGUUUUUAGGAAUGUAAAGUUCUGUCGUAUGGGAAGAGAUCUUUCGAAUGUUAAUACCAUUCGUUAAUGACGGUACCAUACAAGAAAGCACCGGCUAACUUCGUGCCAGCAGCCGCGGUAAUACGAGGGGUGCUAGCGUAGUCCGGAUUUACUGGGCGUAAAGGGUACGUAGGC
rnacentral:rRNA from 1 species